rnacentral:tRNA from 1 species
GCAGUGGUGAUUCAGUGGUAGAAUUCUUGCCUUCCAUGCAGGAGGCUGGGUGGAAUUCCCAACCAAUGCA